rnacentral:rRNA from 1 species
AUGAAGGCCCUCGGGUUGUAAANNGCUUUUGUACGGAAMGAAAAGCCUGGGGCUAAUANCCCNGGGUCAUGACGGUACCNNAAGAAUAAGCACCGGCUAACUACGUGCCAGCAGCCGCGGUAAUACGUAGGGUGCAAGCGUUAAUCGGAAUUACUGGGCGUAAAGCGUGCGCAGGCGGUUUUGNAAGACAGNGGUGAAAUCCCCGGGCUCAACCUGGGAACUGCCAUUGUGACUGCAAGGCUAGAGUGCGGCAGAGGGGGAUGGAAUUCCGCGUGUAGCAGUGAAAUGCGUAGAUAUGCGGAGGAACACCGAUGGCGAAGGCAAUCCCCUGGGNCUGCACUGACGCUCAUGCACGAAAGCGUGGGGAGCAAACAGGAUUAGAUACCCUGGUAGUCCACGCCCUAAACGAUGUCAACU